rnacentral:rRNA from 1 species
AUUGAACGCUGGCGGCAUGCUUUACACAUGCAAGUCGAACGGUAACAGGGAGCUUGCUCCGCUGACGAGUGGCGAACGGGUGAGUAACAUAUCGGAACGUACCCAAGAGUGGGGGAUAACGUAGCGAAAGUUACGCUAAUACCGCAUACGAUCUAUGGAUGAAAGUGGGGGAUCGCAAGACCUCAUGCUCCUGGAGCGGCCGAUAUCUGAUUAGCUAGUUGGUGAGGUAAAGGCUCACCAAGGCGACGAUCAGUAGCUGGUCUGAGAGGACGACCAGCCACACUGGAACUGAGACACGGUCCAGACUCCUACGGGAGGCAGCAGUGGGGAAUUUUGGACAAUGGGCGCAAGCCUGAUCCAGCAAUGCCGCGUGAGUGAAGAAGGCCUUCGGGUUGUAAAGGACUUUUGUCGGGGAGGAAAUCCCCAGCGUUAAUACCGCUGGGGGAUGACAGUACCUGAAGAAUAAGCACCGGCUAACUACGUGCCAGCCGCCGCCGUAACAC